AAAAUGUGGCAAAACUCUUGAGUUCUCCAGAAGUGUUCAUCAGGCAAAAGGAGAGUUCUGGAGAACUCAAAAGCUUGUCACAUUUU